rnacentral:misc_RNA from 1 species
AGAGAACCGCCGGCGCAAGCCGGUUCUACCCACACACACCUGUGAACCGUAUUUAGGACGCGGACUAGCCUCCGGGCGAAACCGUCCGACCCUUACAAAACGUCUUAUAAUGUCAUGAACGUAGUCUUAUUUUAACAAAUA